UUUAUUGGAUGGAUACAAAAUAUUUAUACCCAUUUUAUAGAACUCAAGGCACCACAGAUAUCGUCAUUUUAUGUAAGCAUCGCGUGAUUAAUAAUAAUGAUAAUAACUUAUUUUUGAUGUUUGCAAGUCAAGCACAUUUAAUUACAAAAAACCUUAUCUUAUCCUUGAGUUGUUUAUCCUUGAGAAGUAUCUAGAACCAGUUGUACUCCCAGAACAUCAGACACACAUAGAGUCAUGUGAAACAACU